rnacentral:rRNA from 1 species
UGGGGAAUAUUGGACAAUGGGCGAAAGCCUGAUCCAGCCAUGCCGCGUGUGUGAAGAAGGCCUUAUGGUUGUAAAGCACUUUAAGCGAGGAGGAGGGUACUGGUAUUAAUACUACCAGCUACUGGACGUUACUCGCAGAAUAAGCACCGGCUAACUCUGUGCCAGCAGCCGCGGUAAUACAGAGGGUGCAAGCGUUAAUCGGAAUUACUGGGCGUAAAGCGCGCGUAGGUGGUUCGUUAAGUUGAAUGUGAAAGCCCCGGGCUCAACCUGGGAACUGCAUCCAGAACUGGCGAGCUAGAGUAGGGCAGAGGGUGGUGGAAUUUCCUGUGUAGCGGUGAAAUGCGUAGAUAUAGGAAGGAACACCAGUGGCGAAGGCGACCACCUGGGCUCAUACUGACACUGAGGUGCGAAAGCGUGGGGAGCAAACAGG